rnacentral:rRNA from 1 species
GACGUAGGAUGCGAGCGUUGUCCGGAUUUAUUGGGCGUAAAGAGUUCGUAGGUGGUUUGUUAAGUCUGAUGUUAAAGACUGGGGCUCAACCUCGGAAAUGCAUUGGAUACUGACAGACUCGAGUGUGGUAGAGGCAAUCGGAAUUCCAGGUGUAGCGGUGAAAUGCGUAGAUAUCUGGAAGAACACCGGUGGCGCAAGCGGAUUGCUGGGCCAUAACUGACACUGAGGAACGAAAGCUAGGGUAGCGAAUGGG